rnacentral:rRNA from 1 species
CCUACGGGAGGCAGCAGUGGGGAAUUUUGCGCAAUGGACGAAAGCCUGACGCAGCAACGCCGCGUGGGUGAUGAAGGUCUUCGGAUCGUAAAACCCUGUCGUCGGGGACGAAGGUGCGCGGGUUAAUAGCCUGUUUGCUUGACGGUACCCGCAGAGGAAGCCCCGGCUAAUCUGUC